rnacentral:rRNA from 1 species
UAUCUCUGUAGAGUCUGCAUAUCAAUAAGCGGAGGAAAAGAAACUAACUAGGAUUCCCUCAGUAACGGCGAGUGAAGCGGGAAGAGCUCAAAUUUGAAAUCUUCAAGGUUCUACCUUGACGAAUUGUAGUUUAAAGAAGUGUUUUCUGUUGGAGUUUUGGUAAAAGUUCUUUGGAAUAGGACAUCAUAGAGGGUGAGAAUCCCGUAUUUGACCAUUAUUUCCAGCUUUGUGAUACACUUUCAAAGAGUCGGAUUGUUUGGGAAUGCAGUCCAAAAUGGGUGGUAAAUUUCAUCUAAAGCUAAAUACUGGCGAGAGACCGAUAGCGAACAAGUACCGUGAGGGAAAGAUGAAAAGAACUUUGAAAAGAGAGUUAAACAGUACGUGAAAUUGUCAAAAGGGAAGCGUUUGACACCAGUGUUGUUUUCUUGAAAAUCAAUUAAAAAAGGCAGGAUUUUGUGUUGUAUUGACUUUAUCAGCUUUCUGCACUCUUUUCUUGUCUUUUUUUAAUGCACUUUUCGUUUAACAAGUCAACAUCAAUUUCUUUUGUUGUAAAAGAGUCAUUGGAAGGUGGCUUUCACUUCGGUGAAAGUGUUUAUAGCCUUUGGCUUCUGCAAUCGGAGAGAUUGAGGUCUGCAGCGUAGAUCCUUCGGGGCUAGAUACGUAGAUGCUAAGUUAUAGUUUUUUAUAGACAACUUGUUGACUAUAAUUAAUCAUGUAGCUUACUCGUUUGCGCUAUUUUACCUACGCUUAGGAUGUUGAUAGUCACAGCGUGUAC